GUUUAAAGGGUACCUAGACGGUUCAUCUAGUCUGUAUAAAGGUAACGGAUUGAACUAGAGUUAUAUGGGAAAGGCUCAUUUGGAAUUGAAAGAGGAGAGAUAUAAUUUUUUUAUACUUUCAAGACUGACAAUGGUGAAAACAAUCCUUUAUGUAAUAACUGACGUUAAGGGACGAAGGCAUGGUGAUCGAAUAGGAUUAGAUACCCUAGUAGUCCAUGCAGAAAAUGAUGAAUGUCAUAAAUAUUUUAGAUUAUUUCGAAUGUUGAAUUAAUUAGGUGUUUAUAAAUGAAAGUGUAAACAUUCCACCUCAAGAGUACUACGGCAACGUAUAAACUGAAAUCAUUAGACCGUUUCUGAAACCAGUAGUGAAGUAUGUUAUUUAAUUCGAUAACCCUCGAAA
rnacentral:rRNA from 2 species